rnacentral:rRNA from 1 species
GUGGAUUAGAUACCCUGGUAGUCCACGCCGUAAACGAUGAUUACUAGGUGUGGGGGGUCUGACCCCUUCCGUGCCGCAGUUAACGCAAUAAGUAAUCCACCUGGGGAGUACGGCCGCAAGGCUGAAACUCAAAGGAAUUGACGGGGGCCCGCACAAGCAGUGGAUUAUGUGGUUUAAUUCGAAGCAACGCGAAGAACCUUACCAGGUCUUGACAUCUCCUGCAUAGCCUAGAGAUAGGUGAAGUCCUUCGGGACAGGAAGACAGGUGGUGCACGGUCGUCGACAGCU